CUGAUGCAGCCAUGCCGCGUGCAGGAAGACGGCCUUAUGGGUUGUAAACUGCUUUUAUACAGGAAGAAUAAGGUUUACGAGAUAGACUGAUGACGGUACUGUAGGAAUAAGCACCGGCUAACUCCGUGCCAGCAGCCGCGG
rnacentral:rRNA from 1 species